rnacentral:misc_RNA from 1 species
GAAAUGCGAUAAGUAAUGUGAAUUGCAGAAUUCAGUGAAUCAUCGAAUCUUUGAACGCAUAUUGCGCCCGCCAGUAUUCUGGCGGGCAUGCCUGUUCGAGCAUCAUUACAACCCUCAGGCCCCGGGCCUGGCGUUGGGGAUCGGCGGAAGCCCCCUGCGGGCACAACGCCGUCCCCCAAAUACAGUGGCGGUCCCGCCGCAGCUUCCAUUGCGUAGUAGCUAACACCUCGCAACUGGAGAGCGGCGCGGCCACGCCGUAAAACACCCAACUUCUGAAUGUUGACCUCGAAUCAGGUAGGAAUACCCGCUGAACUUAAGC